UGACGAACGCUCCUUUGUGUGUCUAAUACAUGCAAGUCCAACGCUGCUUAGGAAGAAACUUCGGUUUUUUCUUAACCGGAGUGGCGGACGGGUGAGUAACACGUGGGGAACCUAUCUAUCAGCGGGGGAUAACACUUGGAAACAGGUGCUAAUACCGCAUAUGGCUUUUUUUCACCUGAAAGAAAGCUCAAAGGCGCUUUACAGCGUCACUGAUGGCUGGUCCCGCGGUGCAUUAGCCAGUUGGUGAGGUAACGGCUCACCAAAGCAACGAUGCGUAGCCGACCUGAGAGGGUGAUCGGCCACACUGGGACUGAGACACGGCCCAGACUCCUACGGGAGGCAGCAGUAGGGAAUCUUCGGCAAUGGACGCAAGUCUGACCGAGCAACGCCGCGUGAGUGAAGAAGGUUUUCGGAUCGUAAAGCUCUGUUGUCAGCAAAGAACAGGAGAAAGAGGAAAUGCUUUUUCUAUGACGGUAGCUGACCAGAAAGCCACGGCUAACUACGUGCCAGCAGCCGCGGUAAUACGUAGGUGGCAAGCGUUGUCCGGAUUUAUUGGGCGUAAAGCGAGCGCAGGCGGUGAUUUAAGUCUGAUGUGAAAGCCCCCAGCUCAACUGGGGAGGGUCAUUGGAAACUGGAUCACUUGAGUGCAGAAGAGGAGAGUGGAACUCCAUGUGUAGCGGUGAAACGCGUAGAUAUAUGGAGGAACACCAGUGGCGAAGGCGGCUCUCUGGUCUGUAACUGACGCUGAGGCUCGAAAGCGUGGGUAGCAAACAGGAUUAGAUACCCUGGUAGUCCACGCCGUAAACGAUGAGUGCUAAGUGUUGGAGGGUUUCCGCCCUUCAGUGCUGCAGUUAACGCAUUAAGCACUCCGCCUGGGGAGUACGACCGCAAGGUUGAAACUCAAAGGAAUUGACGGGGGCCCGCACAAG
rnacentral:rRNA from 1 species